rnacentral:lncRNA from 1 species
AAAGAUGUCCCUCAAAAGGGCAAAUUGAUAAAAAAAAUUGUGGUACAUUCAGACAAUGGAAUAUUAUUCAGCAGUAUAAAGCAAUGACCUAUCAAGUCUCAAAAAUAUGGAGGAACUUUUAAGUGUCCAUUGCUAAAUAAAAGAAACCAGUCUGAGAAAGUCAUAUCCUGUUCGAUUCCAACUAUGUGACCUGCAGGAAAAGCAAAACUACAGAGACAGUAAAAAAGAUCAUUGGUUGCUAGUGGGUCAAGGUGGGAGAAGAGACAUUAGUAGGCAUAAGUAGGUAAAACCCAGGAGAUUGAUUUCUAGGGCAGUGAAACUAGUCUACAAGAUACCGUAAAGGUGGUUAUGUGAUAUUAUACACUUGUCAAAAUCCACAGAACUGCAUAACACAAAGAGUGAACCUUAAUAUAAACUAUAGAUUUUAGUUAAUAGAGUAUUUCAGUAUUGGCUCAUUAACUGCAAGAAAUGUACCACAGAAUACAAGACAUUAAUAACAGAAGAAACUGUGAGCAACGGAGAAUGAGUAUAUGGGAACACUUUAUGAUCUGCUACAUUUUCUGUAAACCUAAAAUUGCUCUAAAAAACAAGCUCUACUGGCCGGGCGCGGUGGCUCAAGCCUGUAAUCCCAGCACUUUGGGAGGCCGAGACGGGCGGAUCACGAGGUCAGGAGAUCGAGACCAUCCUGGCUAACACGGUGAAACCCCGUCUCUACUAAAAAUACAAAAAACUAGCCGGGCGAGGUGGCAGGCGCCUGUAGUCCCAGCUACUCGGGAGGCUGAGGCAGGAGAAUGGCGUGAACCCGAGAGGCGGAGCUUGCAGUGAGCUGAGAUCCGGCCACUGUACUCCAGCCUGGGCGGCAGAGCAAGACUCCGUCUCAAAAAAAAAAAAAAAAAAAAAAUGUUUUUCAAAUAGUACAGCACAUACACAGUGCAUAUCAAAAUAAAGUACUGACCAAUCAUAGCAGAUGAUGGCUAUUAACAAACAGUGUGGUUAUACUGACCCACAACUACUUGCUAUCAGUCCAUCCUAUGUGUGGGAUAACCAUACAUUUGUUUAUGCAGGGCAAUUCUAG